ACGGGUGAGUAACACGUAGGCAACCUGCCCUCAAGCUUGGGACAACUACCGGAAACGGUAGCUAAUACCGAAUACUUGUUUUCUUCGCCUGAAGGGAACUGGAAAGACGGAGCAAUCUGUCACUUGGGGAUGGGCCUGCGGCGCAUUAGCUAGUUGGUGAGGUAACGGCUCACCAAGGCGACGAUGCGUAGCCGACCUGAGAGGGUGAUCGGCCACACUGGGACUGAGACACGGCCCAGACUCCUACGGGAGGCAGCAGUAGGGAAUCUUCCGCAAUGGGCGAAAGCCUGACGGAGCAAUGCCGCGUGAGUGAUGAAGGUUUUCGGAUCGUAAAGCUCUGUUGCCAGGGAAGAACGCUUGGGAGAGUAACUGCUCCCAAGGUGACGGUACCUGAGAAGAAAGCCCCGGCUAACUACGUGCCAGCAGCCGCGGUAAUACGUAGGGGGCAAGCGUUGUCCGGAAUUAUUGGGCGUAAAGCGCGCGCAGGCGGUCAUGUAAGUCUGGUGUUUAAUCCCGGGGCUCAUCCCCGGAUCGCACUGGAAACUGCGUGACUUGAGUGCAGAAGAGGAGAGUGGAAU
rnacentral:rRNA from 1 species